CUUCCACCAAUCAUUUGGUUAUGGAACAUUCUAAAACUUAGGCAAGACGAUUGUGAUUGGCUAGAGGGCGUAAGCCCGCCUCCAGGGUGACGUGUCUGCCUAUGGAUAUCAGUUGCCAGAGAAACCUGGCUUUACUAUGGCGGUUGGAGGGUCGGCAGUGAUCACACGUCGGCUGCUGGAAAGAACUGGAUUCUCGUUUCAGGCUACCAUCAAAAAAGCUAAGUUUGCUGUAUAGUAAGGAUCAGAAGAUCUGAUCCUGAUUGCAGAACAUUGCUGAUUACAGAAUCUUGGGUUGUGUCUCCCACCUCAUCUUUCCCUACCAUCCCAGAAGAUCUAUAAGGUUCCAUCUGGGAAAACACUAGAAGUUCUUGGAAGGGAAAGAAGGAAGAGGAUUACGUUUUUUUCCAGAAUUCUAUGCUUGGUUCAUCACUGGCUUUAUCUCUCACCAAUUUAUCACCUCCUCCAACAAGCUACUGCUGAAAGUGGUGUUAGGUACCAUUUCUUGUUUUCUAUCCCCAAAUAUUCUGUGCCCAUAACUAUCACUGUACUAACCUUGUUUUAUAGUUGUCACUUUGGAUAUUUGAAUCCCUAGCGCCUAACAUGGUACCUGUCCUGAAGCUAAUAAGCAGUAAUAUAUGAUGACUAACUGAGUGGAUGUAUUAACCUAUUUCCUAUUAUUUGAUUACUGAUUUCAAACUAACCAUAAAAAUUAGUGCUUUUAUUCAUAAAUUACCCAGGCUUAAAAUUGUGGAGCCACCUUUGACUCCUCCCUCUCCUUCAUUUACCAAGUUCUGAAUUCAGUUUCUUCUUACUCUGUGACAGCCUAGUUGAGGC
rnacentral:lncRNA from 1 species